UUUCAGGUCAUCCAGAAAAUUCCUCCAUCUGUGAUCGAGAGCCUCGCCCCUCCCUGCCCUUGGCCUUGAUGUCUGAGAUGUUCUAGUGUGUCUGUGUGUGUGUGUGUGUGUGUGUGUGUGUGUUCAGACCUGACUGGGAGGACGGCAGGCAGGCACCUUACCCUAGUGGUGGCCCUGGCAGAGGGGGACUGGAGUUCAACACCCAGCAGGGGGAAAGAGACCCAGAAUCUGCUGACAAGGACAAAGUGACAGAUAACCUGGCGACUGAACGCUGAUGACUUAAGAGUGACUGUUCAAUGGCAUGAGGAACCCCACAAAGCACAACAUCUAAAGAUGACUUCACUAGAGAAGAAGAAAAGACCCCCUAAAAGACCCCCUGCAGAGGAAUUAUUCAGAGCCUCUUCCUGCUCCCACUUUCCUCUCCGCUAUUUUACCUCCAGCUUUUUUGUAAGAAAACAAAAACAAAACACUGACUCAAAUGAUGUAUCAAGAUGAUUGACAACAUCAGAAGAAUAUUACUGGAGUAACCAUUUCCUCUGUAGGGGGGAGGGGGUAAACAAAACUUUGAUGCAUGUUACUGUAAGUAGUUCAUCUAAAAACCAACCUUUUUCCCCCAAGUGGGAUCCUCCACUAAGACUCAACCAAGUCCAGCAUUCCUGAUAUAGGAUAAAAUACCCAAGCAACCCAGCUCCUCCCUCUGGAAUCCCUUACUCUAUCUACCGUAUCAGAGGUCAUUGUAACUACCAUUGGCAAUAUGUUCCUCGUUUUAGAGAACUUACUUCCUGUAUCAUUUUGGAGUUAGUUGGACUGUAAGACUACUAUAGUGUAUACUAUUUGCAUAAUGAACCAGUCUUCCUCUCCAAUGGACAUGAGUGAUGUACUAUAGCAUGGAUCUGACUUUACUGUGUUCCUCAGUAUGCUUGUAGAUCACAAAACUCAUAAUUGUGAAUAGUCAACGAUUACACCUUUUUAAUCGUAGAUUCCUAUCUUUAGUAUUAACUUACUGUAUACUAUGUAGGGCAUUUGUUGACCUGUACAUUUGACUAAAUGCAUAGAAAUGCAAGUAAUAGCUCAUUGUAUUAUUUGAAUACCUGCAGACAUAUUAGGGAAACAUUUCUGUCUAUAAAGACAAUGGCACUGUGA